rnacentral:rRNA from 1 species
CUAAGUUUGAUGGCGACCGGCGCACGGGUGAGUAACACGUAUCCAACCUGCCGAUGACUCGGGGAUAGCCUUUCGAAAGAAAGAUUAAUACCCGAUGGCAUAGUUCUUCCGCAUGGUAGAACUAUUAAAGAAUUUCGGUCAUCGAUGGGGAUGCGUUCCAUUAGGUUGUUGGCGGGGUAACGGCCCACCAAGCCUUCGAUGGAUAGGGGUUCUGAGAGGAAGGUCCCCCACAUUGGAACUGAGACACGGUCCAAACUACUACGGGAGGCAGCAUG